AAAAGCAAAGAUAAAAACGCAACGUGCAUCUUCGGAUGUGCCAGAGCCGGUAGGUAGCCCGGCCGUCCUGAUGGUAUCAGGGUAAGUAACCUGCCCUCCUGGGUUGUCCGUUCUUUGUUCAUAACAC
rnacentral:ncRNA from 1 species